UACAGAGGGGGCAAGCGUUGUUCGGAAUUACUGGGCGUAAAGGGCGCGUAGGCGGCCUGCUAAGUCAUACGUGAAAUCCCUCGGCUCAACCGGGGAACUGCGUGUGAUACUGGCGGGCUUGAAUUCGGGAGAGGGAUGCGGAAUUCCAGGUGUAGCGGUGAAAUGCGUAGAUAUCUGGAGGAACACCGGUGGCGAAGGCGGAUCUCUGGCCUUGCCUGACGCUGAGGCGCGAAAGCUAGGGAGCGAACGAGG
rnacentral:rRNA from 1 species